GACGAAGGAUCCAAGCGUUAUCCGGAUUUAUUGGGUUUAAAGGGUGCGUAGGCGGAUUGAUAAGUCAGUGGUGAAAGCCUGAUGCUUAACAUCAGAACUGCCAUUGAUACUGUCAAUCUUGAAUAUGGUUGAUGUGGGCGGAAUAUGACAUGUAGCGGUGAAAUGCUUAGAUAUGUCAUAGAACACCGAUUGCGAAGGCAGCUCACAAAGCCAUUAUUGACGCUGAGGCACGAAAGCGUGGGGAUCAAACAGG
rnacentral:rRNA from 1 species